UGUUCUAUUUUUAAUGUUAUUAAAUAGAAUAGAACAAUAUUUUUUCGUAUUACAAAACAAAACAAGGAUUGCGACGACAACAAAACGAAUAUGUAUAUAAUAAAUAAGUGUGUGAGGUGAGUUUCAUUGAUUUGAUAAUAAAUAGUAGUGAUUCAUUUUUAUCCAUAUGUAAAUGGAAUCAACCAUUCAUACUAUACUAAUUAUAAAAAGGGUAAACUUGCUAUAUUCCCACGAGAACUAUCAUAUAGCAUCAGAUGUCCACCGAACUAUGACCUCAUGAUAUAUGUCCAUAAAAUGAAUAUUGUAAACGUAUUUC
rnacentral:lncRNA from 1 species